GGGGUAAAAGGCCUACCAAGGCAUCGAUCGGUAGCUGGUUUGGGAGGGAUGUGUCAGCCACAACUGGGACUGAGACACGGCCCAGACUCUCUACGGGAGGCAGCAGUGGGGAAUAUUGGACAAUGGGCGCAAGCCUGAUCCAGCCAUGCCGCGUGAGUGAAGAAGGCCUUAGGGUUGUAAAGCUCUUUCACCCGUGAAGAUGAUGACGGUAGCGGGAGAAGAAGCCCCGGCUAACUCCGUGCCAGCAGCCGCGGUAAUACGGAGGGGGCGAGCGUUGUUCGGAAUUACUGGGCGUAAAGGGCGCGUAGGCGGGCGAUCAAGUCAGGGGCGAAAGUCCUGGGCUCAACCUGGGGACUGCCUUUGAAACUGAUUGUCUUGAGUCCGGGAGAGGAUGGCGGAAUUCCCAGUGUAGAGGUGAAAUUCGUAGAUAUUGGGAAGAACACCGGUGGC
rnacentral:rRNA from 1 species